UACGUAGGGGGCAGGCGUUGUCCGGAUUUAUUGGGCGUAAAGAGCGUGUAGGCGGCCUGAAAGGUCAGCUGUGAAAACUCGAGGCUCAACCUCGAGACGUCGGUUGAAACCAUCUGGCUAGAGUCCGGAAGAGGAGUGUGGAAUUCCCGGUGUAGCGGUGAAAUGCGCAGAUAUCGGGAAGAACACCCGUGGCGAAGGCGGCACUCUGGGACGGUACUGACGCUGAGACGCGAAAGCGUGGGGAGCGAACAGG
rnacentral:rRNA from 1 species